UACGUAGGGUGCAAGCGUUAAUCGGAAUUACUGGGCGUAAAGCGUGCGCAGGCGGUUUUGUAAGUCUGAUGUGAAAUCCCCGGGCUCAACCUGGGAAUUGCAUUGGAGACUGCAAGGCUAGAAUCUGGCAGAGGGGGGUAGAAUUCCACGUGUAGCAGUGAAAUGCGUAGAGAUGUGGAGGACACCGAUGGCGAAGGCAGCCCCCUGGGUCAAGAUUGACGCUCAUGCACGAAAGCGUGGGGAGCAAACGAGG
rnacentral:rRNA from 1 species